AAAAAACGAAUUUCUGCGUUUUUUUUAGAAUUUUUGACUCUUCAUCUUAUUUGAAAUUUUUUUAUGAUUAAUUUUUUUUAUUGUUACUACGUGAUAAAACAUGAAUAGUACUUUAUGUGUGACUAUUUUUUUUAAUUUUUAAUAAUUUUUUAAAUAAUACGGAUGGUCAAACGCUCCAUCUUAAAAACCCAGAAAUGCUUUUUUU
rnacentral:pre_miRNA from 1 species